UAAAUUCAACCGAGUUCAAUUACUUUAGUUGCGUGUUCGUUUCGAACGAGUUCUUAGGGUUUGACAAGAGUAACUAUACCAACUCGAGAGAGCUUUCCCCUUUAUACAAAAGCGUAUUAAUAAUUUAUUAUAUAAAUAUACCACUGUUCAAUGUAUAUCAACGCCAUUUUAAAAAUCUUCGGCAUUUUAAAAAGAAAAAAGAAAAAAGAAAAUGAAAAAUUGUUACCAAACGUCAGAUUUGACGUUAGAACGAUAUGAUCAAUGUCAGAUAGAUUGAUGAGAGAAAAAGAAAGAGAAAAAGAAGAAAGAGGAUGAAAAAUAACCGGUUUUAACCAGUUGUGUAGUUGUCAUCAUAUUUUCUUUUGAAGACCAAAAACUUGAAAUAUAAUCUUGAGAAUAUUUGACUGCUUCGUAAUGUAGAACGUCAAUACCCCGUCCUACUUUCAAUGACAUUUCUACCAUACCCAUACCCAUAAAACAACCUACAUUCAACAAACUCUCAAACUUCAAAACCUGUUGCUGCUCUCCUCUCAAGAAAAGAAGAAAAAAUCAAGAAAAAUAAUGAUAGCAAGCGUUGAAAAGCACGUAAUUUAAAAAGUGAAACGAAAAGAGCGUGUAGCUCAUGCGUGUGCGUGUAAGACGAUGUCAACGACGUCAAAAAGAAGAAGAAGAAGAAGAAAAAGAAGAAGAAGACAACGAGAUGCAAGGAAGCCUCGGAAUUUCCUCAAUCGAUGACUAUAUUUUAUUUUCUAAAAUAUUUCGA